CAGGCUUAACACAUGCAAGUCGAGCGAAGACUUCGGUCUUAGCGGCGGACGGGUGAGUAACGCGUGGGACGUACCCUUUUCUCCGGAAUAGCCUCGGGAAACUGAGAUUAAUGCCGGAUACGCCCUUUGGGGGAAAGAUUUAUCGGAGAAGGAUCGGCCCGCGUUGGAUUAGGUAGUUGGUGGGGUAAUGGCCUACCAAGCCGACGAUCCAUAGCUGGUUUGAGAGGAUGAUCAGCCACACUGGGACUGAGACACGGCCCAGACUCCUACGGGAGGCAGCAGUGGGGAAUCUUGGACAAUGGGGGCAACCCUGAUCCAGCCAUGCCGCGUGAACGACGAAGGCCUUAGGGUUGUAAAGUUCUUUCAGCGAGGAAGAUAAUGACGGUACUCGCAGAAGAAGCCCCGGCUAACUCCGUGCCAGCAGCCGCGGUAAUACGGAGGGGGUUAGCGUUGUUCGGAAUUACUGGGCGUAAAGCGCACGUAGGCGGAUUAGAAAGUAUGGGGUGAAAUCCCAGGGCUCAACCCUGGAACUGCCUCAUAAACUCCUAGUCUAGAGUUCGAGAGAGGUGAGUGGAAUUCCGAGUGUAGAGGUGAAAUUCGUAGAUAUUCGGAGGAACACCAGUGGCGAAGGCGGCUCACUGGCUCGAUACUGACGCUGAGGUGCGAAAGUGUGGGGAGCAAACAGGAUUAGAUACCCUGGUAGUCCACGCCGUAAACGAUGUCGACUAGCCGUUGGGCUCAUUUAAGGGUUUAGUGGCGCA
rnacentral:rRNA from 1 species